rnacentral:rRNA from 1 species
UACAGAGGUCUCAAGCGUUGUUCGGAUUCAUUGGGCGUAAAGGGUGCGUAGGCGGUCGGGUAAGUCGGAUGUGAAAUCUCAGGGCUCAACCCUGAAACUGCAUUCGAUACUGCCUGGCUAGGGUACUGGAGAGGAGACUGGAAUUUACGGUGUAGCAGUGAAAUGCGUAGAUAUCCGGAGGAACACCGGUGGCGAAGGCGGCUUCCUGGACCGACACUGACGCUGAGGCGCGAAAGCUAGGGGAGCAAACGGG